AACCAUCCUGGCAGGGAAGCUAAGGCAUUCAGCUGUGGAUGUGCCCAAGGAGACAAGCUAUGAAUGUGGACUCUGUGGUGGUGAGGGGAAAGACUCUCCUCACAGAACAAUAAGAACAUGGGCCCUGAGGUGCUUGAAAGAUGCUUAAAGGCUGGUGCUGGGAAUAGCCAUACUCUUCGUUGCCUUCACUCUAGUUAUUACGAUGGAAGUCAAUGCCACUUGGACACAUCCACAUUCAGCACUACUCAUAAAGAUGACUGAUCAUUGCUUUCAGCAUCUGUGUCCUAUGACUCCCUCGAUGCCUGCUUGGAUACAGAAGCUAGGUUCUGCCUGGAUCUAUAAGGAAAUACAAUAUGACCUGAUAUCCUUUAAGACUAGGCAUCAUCUUCAAGCAUGGGUGGAGAAACACCUUCCUGUACUAGAUAACCAAGAUGGUGUGAAUGGUCAAGACUAGGAUUCAAAAAAAAAUGAAGGAAAAGACAGGAGAAUAAAGGGUCUUGCUGUCUGCUGAAGAUCCCUGUCACAGAAGGCCACAGAUGCUACUACAAAGUAAAGGUCAGUGAGAGGGUUAUUGAGACUCCAGAAGCAACCUGAAAGUGUGGUUCACAGAUGGCAAGGCAAGGGAUCCAGAUUCUUAUCUCUGAACAAGAUCAUUAUUAGAUAUUUGCAAAGCUCUCUUCUACUUCAGAAGCAGCACUAUACACACCCUCACUCAAGACUGUUACACCUGUCUCAAAAAACCAUACACCAGCCUUGGCUGGAGAUGACUUUGUGUUGUCUACUACAGGCCCUCCAGAGACAUUGGAAAGAACUCAGCAUAGGUAGUUGGGCUAGAAAGUGUCUGAUGUGUUUCUACUUUGUCACUACUUUUUUCCAUGCCCAAUCACCCCUCUCAAUGUAGCCCUGGGAUAGAAUCAUCCCAUGACCUAACCCUCAGCAUACCAUUGGGGUAUAUUCCCUUCCCUGACUGCUAGCACCAGUUUCCUGGGACAUGUCCAAACAGCAUCAUCAUGUCCUGCUUUUCUGAACUGUUAGGAAAAAGUGUCAUUCCCUGUCUUGACCCAUGGUCUUGAUUCUACUCUCCCAUGACAAACUUGGAGGCCAAUGUGUUUUAGGAAUUGCCAUGGUAUUUGCAUGAUUCUACAAGCCAACUAUCUGUGUGUACAUUAUCUGUAUGUGUGUAUACACAUUUAUCUUUUGAGCACUGGUUCAAAAGACUAAUGUUUAUAUCUGAGAUGUAUAUUGGAUUCUAUAAGAAAACCCUAUAUAUUAUUUCAUGCUCCUUGUUGCAUGCUUUUUUGAUAUGAUAACAAAUGUUCAUUGAGGGAUCAUUUUCUCUGCAGACUAGAAAACUGCUUCUCUACUGGAAAUAUUUCCAAACAUCAUCUAUCAGCCAAAUGUGUCCCGUGUA